UCAAGCCUACGGGGGGCAGCAGUGGGGAAUAUUGGGCAAUGGGCGCAAGCCUGACCCAGCAACGCCGCGUGAAGGAAGAAGGCUUUCGGGUUGUAAACCUCUUUUCUUGGGGACGAAGAAAGUGACGGUACCCAAGGAAUAAGCCACGGCUAACUACGUGCCAGCAGCCGCGGUAAUACGUAGGUGGCAAGCGUUAUCCGGAUUUAUUGGGUGUAAAGGGCGUGUAGGCGGGAAUGCAAGUCAGAUGUGAAAACUAUGGG
rnacentral:rRNA from 1 species